CCUACGGGGGGCAGCAGUGGGGAAUAUUGGACAAUGGGCGAAAGCCUGAUCCAGCCAUGCCGCGUGUGUGAAGAAGGCCUUCGGGUUGUAAAGCACUUUCAGUGGGGAAGAAAGCCUUGGGGCUAAUACCCUCGAGGAAGGACAUCACCCACAGAAGAAGCACCGGCUAACUCCGUGCCAGCAGCCGCGGUAAUACGGAGGGUGCGAGCGUUAAUCGGAAUUACUGGGCGUAAAGCGCGCGUAGGCGGUCUGAUAAGCCGGUUGUGAAAGCCCCGGGCUCAACCUGGGAACGGCAUCCGGAACUGUCAGGCUAGAGUGCAGGAGAGGAAGGUAGAAUUCCCGGUGUAGCGGUGAAAUGCGUAGAGAUCGGGAGGAAUACCAGUGGCGAAGGCGGCCUUCUGGACUGACACUGACGCUGAGGUGCGAAAGCGUGGGUAGCAAACAGGAUUACAUACCCGAGUAGUC
rnacentral:rRNA from 1 species